rfam:Rattus norvegicus chromosome X, whole genome shotgun sequence.
GGGGAUUUAGCUCAGUGGUAGAGCGCUUGCCUAGCAAGCGCAAGGCUCUGGGUUCGGUCCCCAGCUCCG